GCGAGUUCAGCUCUCUAAAACCAAUGUGAAAGCACCCACAGCGUUGCUUCGGCGGGGUAACUCCCGCCGGCAGUAUCAAACUCUGUAGUCAUUGUAUCUCUGAGUAAACUUUUAAUAAGUCA
rnacentral:misc_RNA from 1 species